rnacentral:rRNA from 1 species
GACGAACGCUGGCGGCGGGCUUAACACAUGCAAGUCGAACGGAAAGGCCCUGCCUUUGUGGGGUGCUCGAGUGGCGAACGGGUGAGUAACACGUGAGUAACCUGCCCUUGACUUUGGGAUAACGUCAGGAAACUGGGGCUAAUACCGGAUAGGAGCUCCUGCGGCAUGGGGGGGGUUGGAAAGUUUCGGCGGUUGGGGAUGGACUCGCGGCUUAUCAGCUUGUUGGUGGGGUAGUGGCUUACCAAGGCUUUGACGGGUAGCCGGCCUGAGAGGGUGACCGGCCACAUUGGGACUGAGAUACGGCCCAGCCUCCUACGCGAGGCAGCAGUGGAGAAUAUUGCACUAUGGGCGGAAGCCUGAUGCAGCAACGCCGCGUGCGGGAUGACGGCCUUCGGGUUGUAUACCGCUUUCGCCUGUGACGAAGCGUGAGUGACGGUAAUGGGUAAAGAAGCACCGGCUAACUACGUG